rnacentral:lncRNA from 1 species
GUUUGAAAUCUUUUCAGAUUAAUCCUAAUAAACCCUCUGAGAAACACAAAACCUAGUACAUUAUUAUUCAAGUUAAAAGCUUUAAAUCACACUUCUCGCAUCUUUUUCAUCAUAUUACGAAUCGAAUACGAAUAAGUACACACAUAAAGUUGAUUUUGAGUUUUAGCCAAUUCCGUAAGAGAACCCAACACACAAGAUAGCUUCAUGAUCAAACCCACAAAAAAUUUCCUGUAUUUCAGAAUUUAUAUAAUAAAAUCUAAUUUUGUAUAAUAAAAUCUGAUUUUAUAAUAAAUCUGAUUUUGCAUAAUAAUAAAAUCUAAUUUUGUAUAGAAUAAUAAAAUCUGAUUUUGUAUAAUAAAAUCAGAUUUUAUAAUAAAAUCUAAUUUUGUAUAAUAAAAUCAUAUUUUAUAAUAAAUUCAGAAUUUGUAUAAUAAAAUCGGAUUUUUUUUUUUCAGAUUUUGGAAAAAUAGAACAACAAUUUUUUUCUAUAAUUUAUUUCACCAAAUAAUUUUUUUUUCCUGUAACUUAUUCACCAAACAACUAAAAAAAAAGAAAAAGAAAGAAUCAAACCUGAGAAGUAGGCGAGGGGGCGAGCGAGCGAGCAAUCGAGAGUGUAGGCGAGGGGGCGAGCGAGCCAGCAAUCGAGAGUAUAGGCGAGGGGGCGAGCGAGCCAGCAAUCGAGCGAGCAGGCGAGGGGACGAGUGGGCGAGGUGGGCGAGAUGGGAGGCGGGCGGGGUGUGGAGGAGGGAGGGUUUGGUGGUAAGAUCUGUGGAGAAGAAAUGAAAAAGAAAAAGAAAAAAAAAAAAGAGAGAAAGUGAGAGAGCAAGCGGGCUUGGGGGCGCUUGGGCGAGGUAGGAGGUGGGCGUGCUGUGGAGGAGGGAGGCUCUGGUGGGAGGUGAGGUCUGUGGAGAAGAAAGGAAAAGAAGAAAGAAAAGAAGAAAGAGAGAGUGAGAGAGAGAGAGAGAGAGAGAAAGAGAGAUAACGGAGGGAUCUAACGGAGCUUUUUCCCAAUUUUCAGUAAAGGGGCAGCACGGAUCUCGAUGCGAUCCAAUGGUUACAAAAUGGGUGGCAAACAUGGCUGGGUGCUAUCAAUAGCAACCCAGCCCAACUCUAUAUAUAUAUAUAUAUAUAUAUAUAUAUAUAUAUAUAUAUAUAGGAUUGAGACCAUUGUCCUAUCAAAUGGUUUUGAAUGAUCGACACUUCAAAUUGAUAAUCGGCACCGUUGAAAUUAAUCUACACUAUAAGAAAUAUUUAAAAACCGAAUUUUGUAAUUUUUGAAAAUCAUUAUCAAGUCUAUCAAAGAGUCGAAAAAAUGAACGGUCAUAAAUGAAUAACCUUCUAAAAAUAGAUAUUAGACUUUCUCAAAUCAUAAUCAGAGUUAUCAAAUAUUAUCUAAAUAGUAUAAAAAAUUUUCUAUCAAAAAUUCAAACAGUUUGAAUUGCUCUAUACCGUUAAACAAGGGCUCAUAUAGGCCGUCAAAAAUUAUCGAUUUUACGAUCCUUUGAUCAUAAUGUAAAUGAUUUUUAAAAUUUUUAAAAUUUAGUUUCUAGAUAUUUUAAAUACUCUAAAUUAACUUUAAUAAUUCCGAUCAUCGAUUCGACAUCUCUAUCAUCAAGAACGACUUGAUAGAACGAUGGUCUUUAUCCUAUUAAAAAUUUAGUUUCUAUAUAUAUUAUGACAACAACAUCCUUAUUGUCAGAUGGAUUAGAUGGAUCUUAGACCACGAGGCCUGUCUUUUGGUGGACUAGGGUUUCAAUAAAACUUUGGACUUUCUGUAUCUCAUCACAUUUUCAGGGAGAGGCUUUUUUAUUUCCAGUGUUUACUUAAAACCAAAAAGAGGACAAAAUUUGGUGACAUGCCCAUCGUGAGGCUAUGGUUAAUGGAGCAUACAUAACCAAUCCAUCUUAACUUAGGUAGAUGAAAUAUUCAAUGGGAUUGCAUUUGCCUGGUUUUGUACAACUUGAAAAUGAUAUUUCAAGAGUAGGAAAAAAUAUACAGGCUAAUAGUAAAAAGUAGAUAAGUGCAUUUAUGAGGCACACGAUUGUCUUAAACCAAUAAUUUAGAAACAAUAAUAUGUCUUUACAAUGUUAUCUUUAUACAUUAUUAAUACAUUAGCAUGUGUGAUUUACAAGUUUUAACUAAUUGGCACAUGCAGCCCAUAAAUACAUGUUUGCUAAUAUAUCAACACUCUACAAAAGUAACAGUUUGGAGAAUCCAAAGCAUUUUUUCUAAUUAGGUUUUGCAAUCUAUUCUCAAUCUUUUUUUUUCAGAGAGAGAUAGGUAACAUGCUACCCGUUUCGUUUAUUUAAUUUAGAAAUAAACUUAGCUAGAAAUGUGAAUCAAUUAGGAUUCGAAUUUGGAAUCUCGGGUACCAAUCACCAAGCCCUUUGCCAAUUGCGCUAGGGACGGUCGGUGGUCUAUUCUCAGUCUUUGACAAUGUAUAUUUUUGGGUAUGAAUAUUACUCUGAUGGUCUAAGCCACCGUUUGGUUCGGGGUUAAGAAAAAGUAGCUAUUACAGGAAUAGGGUUAAGUUCAGGAUUAAAAUGGUGUUAAAAUUUUUUUGUGUUUAAUUGGAGGUUGGAGUUAGUCUAGAAUAGUGAAAAAAAAUGUUUGGUUGGAAUAGGUGGGAUAAGAAGAUAAUGAUUGAUAAAGAAGAAAAAGGUGAGGGCUCGGAAUGCGUGCGGAGUUAAAAUUGGGAGGGGGAGUGGGGUUAAUGAUUGAUAAAGAAGAAAAAUGUGAGGGCUCGGAAUGCGUGUGGGGUUAAAGUUGGGAGGAGGAGUGGGGUUAGUAAACCCCACUAACCCGAUUUGGGGUGGGGUUUACUAACCCCACCCCUUAAAUUGGGGGUUAAGGAGUUAUUCCAUCCCUUAACCCCCAACCAAACGGUGGCUAAGAGUCCCCAAAAAAAAAAAGAAAAAAAAGAGAUAAAAAUAAAUAAAUUAAAGUGCUUUUUCCUCCGCAGGGCAAUUGUUGGGUGAAUUUGGACAGUAUUGUAAUAUUCACUAGUGAGCUUUAAAUUUAUUCUUUUAGCCACAGUGUACACUAGCUAGGAUUAAAUUUUCAUUAGAAUGACUGGGAAGAAAUGUUAAUUAUGUUACUAAUUUAUAAUUGAAAAUUUUCCAAGAAUCUAUAUUAUAUUAUACUAUGCCGAAAUUAAGGCUUGAAGUUCACUAUUUUUAAAAGAUGUAAACAGAGUUUUAAAUUUCUAACCUUAUAAAUAUUUUGAAAAUCCACUAACUUCACUGUAUUGUAAUUGCUGUACAAAAGCACAUGCAUGACAAUCUAUGGUGUUUCUUAAUAUAUAUAUAUAUAUAUAUANNNNNNNNNNNNNNNNNNNNNNNNNNNNNNNNNNNNNNNNNNNNNNNNNNNNNNNNNNNNNNNNNNNNNNNNNNNNNNNNNNNNNNNNNNNNNNNNNNNNNNNNNNNNNNNNNNNNNNNNNNNNNNNNNNNNNNNNNNNNNNNNNNNNNNNNNNNNNNNNNNNNNNNNNNNNNNNNNNNNNNNNNNNNNNNNNNNNNNNNNNNNNNNNNNNNNNNNNNNNNNNNNNNNNNNNNNNNNNNNNNNNNNNNNNNNNNNNNNNNNNNNAUCUAUUUAUAUAUAUAUAUAUAUAUAUAUAUAUAUAUAAAGAAAAGUAUAAAAUGACACAUGAUUUGAAAUUUCCCAGAACAUGGAUAUACAGCUGUUAGAUACCUAAAAUAUUAUUAUUAUUAUUAUUAUUAUAUCAUAAUGGAUAAGCAUCCCAUGGUGGAUUGAGUGAAUUUUUAUUUUUAUUUUCUUUAGCUUGCCUGUAGAUCCCAUCGCGAUUAAGUGAUUCGUAGUAGGUUUCUACUACGGAUUAUAAAGAUGGCAAAUCAGAAUAGUGGAUAAGUACUUUAUUUUUUCAAAAUCUGAUUACUUUUUUGUUAUCAAUCUAAAAACAUGUAUAUUUUAAAUAGAAUUAUACAAACAAAUCGGAGUCCUAAUGGAAAAACAUUUUGAAUCAAAUCUGAUUUGAAGAGAUAAUACUUAAUCCGACCUUAAUGAAUAAAAGACAACAUAUGAUAAUAAAUAUAGUUAUUGGCUUUUUUUUUAUAUAUAUCGCUCUGUAUUGACAUUUUAAACAAUUCCUAAAAAAAUUAGCAAAAUAAGUUGAAUCUUAUGACUCAAUAAGUCUAAAUAAAGGUAGCGUUUGGUUUGGGUAUAAGUAAGAACUGGGUAUUACAGGAAUAGGUACAAAUAUGGGGAUAAAAAAAAAAAAAAAAUGUUUGGAUGAAAAUUGGAUUGUUCCCGGGAAUAAGAAAAAUAACGUUUGGAUAGAUAAUAUGGAAGAAGAAAAAUAGUGGAUAGUUAUAUAUAGAAAAUAGAGGUGUUGGUGGGGAUAAUUAUACCCGAUUAUUAUAGGUAACUGAGCAUUUGGGUAUAAAGGGGAUAAGUGGUUAUUCCACCUCUAAUUCCUAAUCCAAUAGCUGCCAAUUAUAAGUCACAUAAAAAACAACUUGUAAUUUACCCAAACUUAAAACUAAAAAAUAAUAAUAAUAAUAAUAAUAAUAAUAAUAAUAAAAGAGCAUUUUUGUUACAUAAAAGCAAAGUCAACGGCUCCCUCCCCAGUACCUUUGAACGUUUUAGUCAAAUAGCAAGGAACGAGUAUCCUCCAAUCCCACCCCCCCCAACCUCAAUGGAGAUGAUCACAUCCCUCUCCUCCCUCUUCUUCGCCCUCCCUUUCAUUGCACUCCUCUCCAUCUUCUUCCUCCGACGAAACCACCCACCCUCUAAUCCUCCGGCCCUCUCCAUCCUCCGCGGCUACCCGGUCGUCGGCAACCUCCCCUCCUUCGUCCGCAACCACCGCCGCAUGGUCGAGUGGACUUCCGAGCUCCUCCUCGCCUCCCCGACCGGCACCGUCUCCGUCGCCCCGCUCGUCCUCACCGCCGACCCCGCCGCCGUCGAGCACGUCGCCAAAUCCAGCUUCCACAACUACCCGAAGAUCCCCUCCUUCGUCAGCGCCUUCCACGACUUCCUCGGCACCGGCAUCCUCAACUCCGACGGCGAGCCUUGGCGCGUCCAGCGCAGGACCGCCGAGCUCGAGUUCGGCACCAGGCCGCUGCGCAGCUCAGUUCUUGAAAUCGUGAAUUCGGAGAUCGCCUGUCACCUAUUCCCGCUGCUGCAAUUCAAAGAUCGAAAACAAGAAUUGUUCGACUUUCAGAACGUACUCGGCCGGUUCGCUUUUGACGUUAUAUGCCGUGUGGUGUUCGGCGAGGACGUGAGGGUGCUCGGCGAGGAGAAGAGCGAGCUUUUCUAUCGAGCGUUCGACGGCGCGGCGGCGGUGAGCAUCGACCGGUCGAAGCAGCAUUUCUCGGCUCUGUGGAAGCUCAAGGAGUGGCUCGACGGCGCCUCCGCGAAGCAGCUCCGGGAGUCGGUGAGAAUCCUCCACGAAUCCAUCGACCGGCUCCUGCAGUUGCGGAAAGCGAAGAGCAACGGUUUCUUAUCCCGAUUCGUGGACGACGAGACGCUCUCGGCGGCGCACGUUCGCGAUGUCCUGAUAAACUUCGUCAUCGCGGGGCGCGACACGGUGCCGACGGCGCUCACGUGGUUCUUCUGGGUGCUGUCGUCGCGGCCCGACGUGGUCGAGAAGAUACACGACGAGAUCAGAUCGGUGCGCAGUUCGAAUGCGAACGAUGACGAUGAGGAAGGCAGCGGCGAUAAAGCAUUCGGGCUGGACGAGCUGAGGGAGAUGAACUACCUGCACGCGGCGAUAACGGAGACGCUGCGGCUGCACCCGCCGGUGCCGCUCACGCCGCGGGUGAGCGCGGUGGAGGACGAGCUCCCCGACGGGACGCCGGUGGGGAAGGGGUGGAUGGUGAUCUACAACGCGCACGCGAUGGGGCGGUCGGAGCGGGUGUGGGGGCCGGACUGUCGGGAAUUCAGGCCGGAGCGGUGGCUGGACGGCGCCGGCGGCGGGCGGUUUCGGCCGGCGAGCCCGUUCAAGUACACGGCGUUCCACGCCGGGCCGAGGAUGUGCCUGGGGAAGGAGGUGGCGUACGUGCAGAUGAAGGCGGUGGCGGCGAGCGUGAUCGAGGGGUUCGACGUCGAGGUGGCGGAGGAGAGGGGGAGGUUCGUGCUCGGGAUGACGAUGAAGAUGGAAGGAGGGCUGCCGGUGAGGGUGAGGGAGAGGAACCCGACAGCGAAAAUUGUUUGACGAAAUGCUUUCAGGUUCGUUUGGAUGUAUGAAUAAGUUAUUUAGCACUGUCAGAAAAAUUUGAGUUGUAAUUGAAAGUUUCGGACGUUUGAUUGGUUUUUCGUUUGAGUUCUGCUUCUCAAAUUAAGAAGCUGCUCUAUAAUAAGCUGGAAAACUAGGUGAUAAGUUGAUGUAAAGCGUAAAAAUUUACAUUAUGCAUUCAAAAAUUUCUUGUAUUGGCAUGCGAAAUGGUUCACGUACGAAUGCAAGUAGAUCCAGUUUGAUAUAACUAGCGCUCAAUUCGCCGUAAAUGUCCUAUAGUAAGUGGAGGCCAAAAGAAAAGAAGAAAUAAUUUAUCCGAAAUUCGUUCCAAUCUACGAAGAAAAUAGAGUAAGAGACAGAAGACCCUUCCCUUCUCUUGAUCUUUUCCAAUUUUCUGAAAAUCCGUCAAAACUUAGCUCUUGUUCCAACUCGUCCUGAAUAGAACAGUAGAGAAAACAAAAAAUCGAAUAAAAAUUAAUCAUUCCCAACUCCACUUUAAUUGGCCAAGAAAAUAGGGAGGAAGGUGGAGGACUCCUCUCGCCCCCGGAUUUGUCCUGUUUGCAUCCUAGUCCGCCACUUCUUGCUGCUGAGCAGCAGCACCUGAAUGGGCUCGAAAAAGCCUUUUUGGCCCUUUUCUUCUUUCGCUGCUUUUGGUCUUGUUGAGCGUCGCUCAAGCGGCUACCGUUGCGACAAGUAAAGGCCAACUUAAUAUCUCAAUUUUGGUGCCUGAGACAAUAGAGAUUGAUUCUUAGGCCAAUAUUGGCCCAUUUAUUUGAGAAAUUAGUUUCUAGUAACAUAGAGAUGAAUUUCUAUAUACCAGUGGCACUAUCUCGGUGGUGUGUCUGAAACGAAUCAAUUUUUUAUUUCUUGUAAUAAAAGUAUAAUAUUUUUUAAAAAAAAAUUAUGAGAUGGGUGAAUAUGAGAUCUCGGCCAGUUCUAUAUAUGAAAUAUAAUAAGACUAAACUCUUAAUCCGGCUUAAAUAUUUUUAAUGGUGGUUAGAUUCAAGAGGUUAAGAGAGUUAUGCUUGAUAGGACAAGAGUAGUCCUAAAAUGGAUUACCUUCUGAAAAGUUGAGACGUCACAGUUGGUAUUAGAGCCAAUUAUAUUAUCAGUCGAAAGUGUGAGAUGAGUCUUGGCUGAGUCAGAAUUAUAUAGCGGAGAGAACGAAGCUCUCAUACUAUUGACUAUUGUGGGUAGAGUGCGGCUCCUUUACAAAAUUGGUUUAAGCUAGUGAGACGAGUCUCAUAUUGCCUGAUACUUAUGAGUCUGAGUCCGACGAAAACAUCCGGCUUAAAGGGGGGAGAUUGUGAGACCCCAAGUGUGUUAUAGGACGAGAGUAGCCUUAGAAUGAAUGUCCUUCUGAAAAGUUGGGACGUCACUGUGA